rnacentral:rRNA from 1 species
UCGCUGCCCAGGACUGAGCCAUUUCGAGAAGAAUGGGGACUGCUGUUGGAGGGCCUUUGUGGGCUUUCCUUCUGGCGGAAACCGUUUUGAUCGCAGUGGCUUGAACUGGGCAA